GUGUGAAAAAUCAACAUCGACAACAGCGGCACAGACAACAGUGGACCACAACACAGCAUGCGGCUGUCAUGGUAACAAGCUGCUAAUGCCACGCUGUCUGUUGAUUGGCUAAAAUUACCAAAAUUUCCCAAAUUUAAUUCCAAAUAAUAUCAGAUUCUUUAAUGUACGAGAUAAAGUAAUUGGUUGAUCGUAAUUAAAAUUCAGAGUUGCAUCGAUACACCAAAAUUGAAAGCAAUCAGAGCAAAAUUAAAUGGGGAUCAUUUUGCGAACGAGAAAGACUAGAUCCCGUAUGUGUAUGAAAA